GAUGAAGAACGUAGCGAAAUGCGAUAAGUAAUGCGAAUUGCAGAAUUCCAGUGAGUCAUCGAAUCUUUGAACGCACAUUGCGCCCCCUGGUAUUCCGGGGGGCAUGCCUGUCCGAGCGUCAUUGCUGCCCUCAAGCACGGCUUGUGUGUUGGGCCUCCGUCCUCCUCCCGGGGGACGGGCCCGAAAGGCAGCGGCGGCACCGCGUCCGGUCCUCGAGCGUAUGGGGCUUCGUCACCCGCUCUUGUAGGCCCGGUCGGCGCUUGCCGACACAUCAAUCUUUUUUCCAGGUUGACCUCGGAUCAGGUAGGGAUACCCGCUGAACUUAAGCAUAUCAAUAAGCGGAGGA
rnacentral:misc_RNA from 1 species